ensembl:rRNA 5S_rRNA 5S ribosomal RNA
UACAACGGCCUUACCACCAUGGACACGCCCAAUCUCGUCUGAUCUUGGAAGCUAAGCAUGAUCGGGCCUGGUUAGUACCUGGAUGGGAGACCGCCUGGGAAUACCAGGUGCUGUAAGUG